UCAGCACAAUGUUAAAAUGCCCCACUGUAUUUGAAAAUAUGGAUCUUUUUUUUAAAUUUAGGGGCUAAAAGCACAAGGCCCCACCCUAGAAUUAGAACUAGCCCUGUAUUUUGCCCUCUAGUCGUAGAGAAUUAGUCAUUGUCAUCAUCAUCUCUCUCUGUGUCUCUGUCUCUGUCUCGCUCUGUGUCUCUCUCUCUCUCUAUUAUACCUAACUAGCAAGUCUAAGGAACGCAACUCCUGCCAGCAUUGUUGUGCUAUCAUAGUUUGCACUCUAGUCGUUGAGAAUUAGUCAUUGUCAUCAUCAUCUCUCUCUGUGUCUCUCUCUGUCUCUGUCUGUGUGUGUGUCUGUGUGUGUGUCUCUCUCUCUGUGUCUCUCUCUCUGUGUCUCUCUCUCUCUCUAUAAUACAUAACUAGCAAGUCUAAGGAACGCAACUCCUGCCAGCAUUGUUGUGCUAUCAUAGUUUGCACUCUAGUCGUUGAGAAUUAGUCGUUGAGAAUUAGUCAUUGUCAUCAUCAUCUCUCUCUGUGUCUCUCUCUCUGUGUCUCUCUCUCUCUCUAUUAUACCUAACUAGCAAGUCUAAGGAACGCAGCUCCUGCCAGCAUUGUUGUGCUAUCAUAGUUUGCACCCAAAUCAAAUUUGAUAUAAUAAAAUAAGACGGUAAAUUAACCAUGUUUAUAGCUGAAAUCCUUUGAAAUUAUAUUAUUUGAGAUGAAGCAAAUCUUUAUGUAUGCAUGAUAACAUUGCUGACAGUGACAGUCUGGAAAAGGGAGGUUUCCACAUUAACAGGGUGAGGACUAAACCUGCUGAAGAGGUUUCACUGUAUUAGAAAUGAUUUAAUUUUUUGUUCAUAUAUUAGGAAGAAAACAAUGCAUGAAAUGCAUACUGACAUCAUGUUGUGUUUAUGGCACCUAUGCAUUAUUCAUAAUCUAUCAUGUCCAUGAUAUCUGAGUAUUACUUGUUUUUUAUGCUUUACUUGUAAUUGUAUUCAUUUGGUGAGAGAGGUGUUUUUGAACCCACCCAGUCAUGUUAUUGAAGUUGCUUUAUCCAUGUUAAUGCAAAUUAAUACUAUUGCAUUGGUAGUACACAGUAGUAUACAAAUCAGAUUAUAUAUGAAAAUUGUACAGCUUGAACUGUUUAUCUAUAUACCGUAUUCCAUGUAAUAAGCCGCCCGCUCUGAUAAGCGCCACUGCGAUAGUUGCUAAUAUAUUGGUUAGUGAACAAUCCCAAUUAGCACCCCUUCCGAUUGAUCAAUGUACACAAGACUUAUUUAUUCGUGCAUAAUACACACUCGUGGGUUAUAUGCACCCUUAAUUAUGGGCCAUUUAAUUCUGGAUUUCCGAUUCUUCAACUGUUUUUUUCACCAAAAUAAUAUUCUAAUAAGAGCCCCCAAUUUCUAAAUUUGAGAGCACCCUGCUGAUUUUCAUCCCUUGUUCACCCAAUACAAACAUUGAUGGAUUUCACUUGCAAUAUUACUCAUAUGAGUAGAAUUAUCAUGUGUAAUAACAUUCCGAUAUUUGCAUAUGUGCAUUUUAGCGAUUCUUUAUGCUGAUUGCUCAAUUGGAGCCAUCACAGUGAUUCAUUGAGAAAAUUUGAUAUGACAUCAUACAUUAUUCAUGACAUCACAAAUGGAUCUGAACAAUAGGCUUCCUUCAGUAAAGUUUCUCUGUAGGGUUGACAUUUUGUACGUGUUCCUGCAUUUUCUCUUUUAAAAUGUCACUGAGUAAUAUAAAGAACGACUUACUCGAAACUCGGAACGACAGAUUUUUUGUCCCUUGUGAAUGAAUGCCCCCGCCUUACUAACAUCAUUCAUUCACUCGGGACAGAUAAUACGUAAGUCCAUGUAGUUUGUUGGUUGUCAUGGUUAUUCUCUAAUUAUCAGCCAAGUCAAAACCAAUGGUAAAUAGUGGUCAGUCAUGGGCGGAUACAGCUUUUUUGAAAAGGGGGGUUGCACAAUUAAGAUCUAUUUAUUGUCUUUGGUGGUAAUUUAUACAGAAAUAAAGGUUUUUUUCGAAAUAAAAACGGGGGGUGCGCACCCCCGCAACCCCCCUCUGUAUCCGCCCAUGUCAGUAUCUGAAUGAAGCAAUAAACAUGACAACAUCAACAUCAUCAUCAUCAUCAUGAUGCACCCAGCCGCUAUUCAAUAAGGGGGUGUCACGACACGCCUUGUUCAGAUAUCAAUACAUAUCACGAGAAAUGAUCAUGAUACAACAUGUAUACUUAAUUUGUGCUGUUUAUCAAUGUUUAUGCAAGAAAUACUCAAGAUUUCAGGUUUCAUGUGGCCCAGCAAACAAGAGGUUGCUGUUAACCAGUUUGUGUCUAACUCACAGUUAUGCAAUCCGAUGUCACGUCUUGUUUCAUGACAGGCGGUAAGAAACACCAACAGGAGUAGUUAUGAAGACGAGUUAUUGGGGAAAUGAUCAAUAUUUCUUUUUGGAAAUCAAUACAGAACCAAACCAUGAAUUGAUACAUCAGUAGGCAUAUCAUGUAUCGUACUGUGCGGUGUAAAUUAGUGAAUUGUGACACCCCUUUUAGUCAAUCAGCAUAAUAAUUUAUCAAUUAUUAAUUAUUUUUUAUGGCAUUUCAGUUUACCACCUGUUACCACAACCAGCACAAUCUGGUCAAUUAUUUGUGAUUUCUGUCUGAUGAAGUCAGUUCUGGGAGUUGGUAAUUUAUGGUAUUGUUUUUGCAUUUCAUCAAUGUUUCCUGUAAAUCUUCAUGAGCAUGAUAUUAAUGCAAGAAACAUGAGUGUCCUUUGCUCACAGAACAAAGUGACAUGUUUUGAAUAGUAUAUAAGUAUAUACAGGAAAAGCCUGCACAUAGGCACGCAUGCAUGCAACCACGCAUCACAAUUGCACAUUAAUUUAAUGACUUAUGUUACUUCAUGGUAACUAAAACAGUUUUUCACAUGAAGUAUUAAUAAACUGAGUGCUGCUUUAUCAGAAGUUACAACUUGAACAUUAAUAUAUGUCAAACAACCUGCUACAAUUUCUACAUUUGUAGUUUAUAGCUAAAAGAUGAAAAUAUGGUUGCAUUUUUCUUUGUGUAACACAAGAAAGUGCUCGGUCAACCUGGUCAAUGUUGCUUGUUCUGACCAGCUGGUAAUCAUAAUUUGAGAAAUAAAAGAUUGUGAUACCACA